UACGAAGGGGGCUAGCGUUGCUCGGAAUCACUGGGCGUAAAGGGUGCGUAGGCGGGUCUUUAAGUCAGGGGUGAAAUCCUGGAGCUCAACUCCAGAACUGCCUUUGAUACUGAAGAUCUUGAGUUCGGGAGAGGUGAGUGGAACUGCGAGUGUAGAGGUGAAAUUCGUAGAUAUUCGCAAGAACACCAGUGGCGAAAGGCGGCUCACUGGCCCGAUACUGACGCUGAGGCACGAAAGCGUGGG
rnacentral:rRNA from 1 species